rnacentral:rRNA from 1 species
GAUGAACGCUGGCGGCGUGCUUAACACAUGCAAGUCGAACGAAGCAUUUAGGACAGAUUACUUCGGUUUGAAGUUCUUUAUGACUGAGUGGCGGACGGGUGAGUAACGCGUGGGUAACCUGCCUUGUACUGGGGGAUAGCAGCUGGAAACGGCUGGUAAUACCGCAUAAGCGCACAAUGUUGCAUGACAUGGUGUGAAAAACUCCGGUGGUAUAAGAUGGACCCGCGUCUGAUUAGCUAGUUGGUGAGAUAACAGCCCACCAAGGCGACGAUCAGUAGCCGGUCUGAGAGGGUGACCGGCCACAUUGGGACUGAGACACGGCCCAGACUCCUACGGGAGGCAGCAGUGGGGAAUAUUGCACAAUGGAGGAAACUCUGAUGCAGCGACGCCGCGUGAGUGAAGAAGUAAUUAGUGAUGUAAAGCUCUAUCAGCAGGGAAGAUAGUGACGGUACCUGACGAAGAAGCUCCGGCUAAAUACGUG